GCCGCCUUCAGUCUCUGGACUCCUCACCGCGCAGGCACCCAGACCUUAUUUAGCACAACUGACUCCAUGAUGGAAGUUCCAUUCGGGUUUCUGGAUAACUGCUCUGGCUAACUGAUGUAUGUCAACCCAUGGGUUUUUCUAAGUAACAACUAUUCUAGAACUCACUUCAUAGACCAGCCUGGCCUCAAACUCACAGAGAUCUGAUUGCCUCUGCCUCCAAGUGCUGGAAUUAA